UACGUAGGUGACAAGCGUUGUCCGGAUUUACUGGGCGUAAAGAGCGCGCAGGCGGUCGAUCAAGUCGAGUGUGAAAGCCCCCGGCUCAACUGGGGAGGGUCAUUCGAUACUGAUCGACUCGAAGGCAGGAGAGGGUAGUGGAAUUCCCGGUGUAGUGGUGAAAUGCGUAGAUAUCAGGAGGAACACCGAUGGCGAAGGCAGCUCGCUGGGACGGUACUGACGCUGAGGCGCGAAAGCGUGGGGAGCAAACAGG
rnacentral:rRNA from 1 species